CCUACGGGUGGCAGCAGUGGGGAAUAUUGGGCAAUGGAGGCAACUCUGACCCAGCAACGCCGCGUGAAUGAUGAAGGUCUUCGGAUUGUAAAGUGCUGUGAUGGGGGAUGAACACAAUGACGGUACCCCAAUAGCAAGCCACGGCUAACUACGUGCCAGCAGCCGCGGUAAUACGUGGGUGGCAAGCGUGAUCCGGAAUGACUGGGGGUAAAGGCUGCGUAGGUGGUUUAGUAAGUUGGCGGUGUAAGUCCGGGGCCCAACCUCGGCGCUACCGCCAAAACUAUUAGACUAGAGUGCGGUAGGGGUAAGUGGAAUUCCAAGUGAAGCGGUGGAAUGCGUAGAUAUUAGGAGGAACAUCAGAGGCGAAGGCGACUUACUGGACUGAAACUGACACUGAGGCACGAAAGCGUGGGGAGCAAACAGGAUUAGAUACCCGUGUAGUC
rnacentral:rRNA from 1 species